rnacentral:snoRNA from 1 species
UGUCCCUAUCCUGGGUAGAUUGGCACUAACUGGUGCCACCCAUCUCAGAUCAGCCAGGGACAAAUCAACCCCCUGUUUAUCCCAGCUUGGUUUUUGGUCUGUGCCGAUGCCUGGUUCAUGCCUUGGACACAUGG